UUAACUCCGGAUCUUUUAAGC
rnacentral:miRNA from 1 species